rnacentral:rRNA from 1 species
AUUAGUGGCGAACGGGUGAGUAACACGUGAGUAACCUGCCCUUGACUCUGGGAUAAGCGCUAGAAAUGGCGUCUAAUACCGGAUACGAGCUUCAGCCGCAUGGCUAGGAGUUGGAAAGAAUUUUGGUCAAGGAUGGACUCGCGGCCUAUCAGCUAGUUGGUGAGGUAAUGGCUCACCAAGGCGACGACGGGUAGCCGGCCUGAGAGGGUGACCGGCCACACUGGGACUGAGACACGGCCCAGACUCCUACGGGAGGCAGCAGUGGGGAAUAUUGCACAAUGGGCGAAAGCCUGAUGCAGCAACGCCGCGUGAGGGAUGACGGCCUUCGGGUUGUAAACCUCUUUUAGUAGGGAAGAAGCGAAAGUGACGGUACCUGCAGAAAAAGCACCGGCUAACUACGUGCCAGCAGCCGCGGUAAUACGUAGGGUGCAAGCGUUGUCCGGAAUUAUUGGGCGUAAAGAGCUCGUAGGCGGUUUGUCGCGUCUGCUGUGAAAUCUGGGGGCUCAACCCCCAGCCUGCAGUGGGUACGGGCAGACUAGAGUGCGGUAGGGGAGAUUGGAAUUCCUGGUGUAGCGGUGGAAUGCGCAGAUAUCAGGAGGAACACCGAUGGCGAAGGCAGAUCUCUGGGCCGUAACUGACGCUGAGGAGCGAAAGCAUGGGGAGCGAACAGGAUUAGAUACCCUGGUAGUCCAUGCCGUAAACGUUGGGAACUAGAUGUGGGGGCCAUUCCACGGUCUCCGUGUCGCAGCUAACGCAUUAAGUUCCCCGCCUGGGGAGUACGGCCGCAAGGCUAAAACUCAAAGGAAUUGACGGGGGCCCGCACAAGCGGCGGAGCAUGCGGAUUAAUUCGAUGCAACGCGAAGAACCUUACCAAGGCUUGACAUAUACCGGAAACGUCCAGAGAUGGUCGCCCCGCAACGUUGGUAUACAGGUGGUGCAUGGUUGUCGUCAGCUCGUGUCGUGAGAUGUUGGGUUAAGUCCCGCAACGAGCGCAACCCUCGUUCUAUGUUGCCAGCACGUUAUGGUGGGAACUCAUGGGAGACUGCCGGGGUCAACUCGGAGGAAGGUGGGGAUGACGUCAAAUCAUCAUGCCCCUUAUGUCUUGGGCUUCACGCAUGCUACAAUGGCCGGUACAAAGGGCUGCAAUACCGUAAGGUGGAGCGAAUCCCAAAAAGCCGGUCUCAGUUCGGAUUGAGGUCUGCAACUCGACCUCAUGAAGUCGGAGUCGCUAGUAAUCGCAGAUCAGCAACGCUGCGG